GCUCAAAGAAAGCAGCGCCAGACUCUGGCUCCGAGGACCACAGUAGGGCUCGCUUCCGGGCUGAAAUGAGUGAGUGCCACCUGCCAAGCGAACUAGCGUGGUUCCUGCUGGGAGUGUAGUCCUGGCGCCGAGUGGGUCCGGCUCUCAUGUUGCGGGAUUGGCGCUCCGCCCUGCCCUCUGCGCGGGAAAGCGUCAACCGCUUGGCGGGCCCGGGAUCUGGAGAACGUCCUCCCACUGAAGGGCUUCGAGACCUCAGUGUACUUACGUGCGGAGCGAGUUCUGCGUUCCCGAGUUCCCUGCUGGUGGGAAACGACUAGCCUUUAUUGAAUGCCUACGGGAUAUCAGCCGUUUGUAAAACCAAGCCCUACCCGGAGAGACUAAGAUUGACCGGAUUUUGACGAAAGGGAAAGCGCGAGUAACUUUCUGGCGUAAACUUGCCAGGAGGCAGAGGACAAGAAUGUUGGAGACAGCCAAGAGAGAAACCCCAGGAAGGGACUGAGCUGGACAAAGUAUAGCCCUGGAGGGGUAGAAGGAAGCAAUAAGCACACACAAUGCAAAGACGGGGAAAGGGCCUUUCUCUGCUCCAAGAAGUUUUGCUGGUGGUGUAUCGACAGAAGUGACCGUCCAGCAACAAUCAUCUCAGGUGUGGGCUUACUCACCAGCCAGCCCUUGCC